ensembl:lncRNA
ACCUGAGGUCUCCUGCCCAUAGCCAUGUGAGGGAGUCAUCUUGGAAGCAGUUUCUCUAGCCCCAGCUGAGCCUGUAAUCACAACUGCAUUUGGAAAAGCUGUCUCUUUGGUGACUGUAUGAAGAAUGGAUUGUAGGGGGCAGAAAUAAAAGCAGGACCACCUGGGAAGUGGCUACUGCAAUAGUCCAGGUGAACAUUGAUGGUGGCAGGGGAGAUGGAGCAAAGUGGAUGGAUGGGUUUCAUAGUUAUUUAGGAAGUAAGACAAACAGGAGUUGAGAGAAUAAAAGGUCAGUGAUGAAAAAAAAAUUGUAGUAUAGAAUUAGCAAAUUUGAAACAAACAAACAAAAAAAAGGUCAGUGAUGAUCCUCAGGUAGGAUCUUCAUUGAAAUGAGGAGUUGGUGGAGGCAGGGAUGGGAGAAGAUGAGAUGGUAGGUUUAGCUAUGGACAUGUUGAGUCCAUGUCCCUAAACUGUUCAAGGGCCUCCAUACAUGUAUGAGAGACUAGAAGCUCUCAACUGGGGGGUGAUUCUGCCCACCCAGGGGACAUUUCACCGCAUCGGGAGAAAUUUUUGUUGCCACAACUGGGGGAUGGGAGUGCUACUGGAAUAUAAAAGCUGGAGGGUAAAAGCUGGAGAUGCUGCUCAACAUGCUACAAUGCACAGGACUGUUCCCCAUAGAAAGAAUUAUCUGACCCCAAAAGUCAAUGGUGCGGAAGUGGAGAAAUCCUAGGGUAAACCAAUUGCUGGAAUAGGAAAAAUCCCAACUUCAGUAGAGACCAUUUGUUCAGUAAAGUUUUAUUUCUUGGAUAUGCAACCAUCAAUCAAGAUCGAGUUUUCUGGGCAGCUCUCCUCCAAAUAGUCCUCUCCAAGAAGCUGGCAAAUGGAGAAAGCUUGAGCAAGGCUCUCAUGAGAAGUCUUUAAAGGCUCAGGCCGGAAGUGACUUAUAUCAUUUCCUCUUACGCCCAUUAGUUAAAUCAGUCACGUAGUUUUGCCUAAGUGCAAGGGAUUCUGGGGAAUGUAGUCCAGGCACAUGCCCAGGAGGAAUAAGGAAAUCAUUUGAUGAAAAAGGAGCCAGUUUGUGCUACAGUAUUAUUAUUGCCUUCAUUAUUUGUUGUUAUUCAGACCUAACAGCUUCCUGAACUUAUUUCUACUUGUGUUCUCUUUCAACUCUAUCCCAUCCAUAGGGUCAGUGGAGUGACUUUUUCAAAUCUGUUUUCUCAAACCCUCACACUUUAGCCAAUCUUCAAAGGAAAGCAUUCUAACCAUUUCCCCAUAAGCCACAGGAUCAAGUCCAAUGCCCUUGAUGCAGCGUUUCUAGAGUUCAAAAUGUUGAGCAAGCAGUAGGAUGGGCAGGAAUGAAAUUUUGAGAUCAUCCAUGUUUCAAGACUUUGCAGAGGAGGGUGAGAAGGUCUGUCCUGGCAUUGCUGAAAGGCUUCCUGGAAGAGGUGGCAUGAGGGCUGUGGCUUUGAAGAAAGCAGAAGCUCCAAAUGCGAAAUCUGAGAAGUGGGAAAAGAAGGGUGUGGCAUCAGGGAAGUCAAAGGGAGAGAUCAUAUGAGUAAAAAGGAAAUGGUCAGCUCUAAGGAGUGCUGAGGAGAGGCUAGAGAGAAACGAAUCCAACUAGGAACCAUGAGGUUGCAGGUUUGAUCCCUGGCCUCGCUCAUGCAUUGCCAUGAGCUGUGGUGUAGGUCGCAGAUGCAGCUAGGGUCUGGCAUUGCUGUGGCUCUGGCAUAGGCCAGCAGAAACAGCUCCGAUUAGACCCCUAGCCUGGGAACCUUGAUAUGCCGUGGCC